rnacentral:rRNA from 1 species
GACAGAGGGUGCAAACGUUGCUCGGAAUCACUGGGCGUAAAGGGCGCGUAGGCGGACAAGUAAGUCGGGCGUGAAAUCCCUAGGCUCAACCUAGGAACUGCACUCGAAACUGCCUGUCUUGAGUACCGGAGAGGAAAGCGGAAUACCUGGUGUAGAGGUGAAAUUCGUAGAUAUCAGGUGGAACACCAGUGGCGAAGGCGGCUUUCUGGACGGUAACUGACGCUGAGGCGCGAAAGCGUGGGGAGCAAACAGG